rnacentral:rRNA from 1 species
UACGUAGGGUGCGAGCGUUGUCCGGAAUUAUUGGGCGUAAAGAGCUCGUAGGCGGUGUGUCGCGUCGGCCGUGAAAACCUGGGGCUCAACUCUGGGCGUGCGGUCGAUACGGGCAUCACUUGAGUUCGGCAGGGGAGACUGGAAUUCCUGGUGUAGCGGUGAAAUGCGCAGAUAUCAGGAGGAACACCGGUGGCGAAGGCGGCAUCCUGGACCACCACUGACACUGAGGAGCGAAAGCCAGGGGAGCAAACGGG